rnacentral:rRNA from 1 species
GCCUAUGACCAAAUCACCUGUAACGUGCCCGAUCUUGUCAGACUUCUAAUGCUAAGCAGGGUUGAGCCUGCAUAUUGCUUGGAUGGGUUAGCACCAUGCACGAACAGGUUGUCAUAGGUG